UUGUAUAUAGUAUUAUUUUUUUUGAUAAGUCAAAUGGUGCACAUGGAUUUGUCUUAUCUAUCUGGUCUUUUAUUACUUUCAGCAGGUCUUUCAGAACUUGAAAGUUGUCGACGGCAAAUAAGUGAUUCGGUUUAGGUUGACUGACAUACGAUGUGAGUUCGGCCUUGCCCUUCUUCGAAUUCCCACCAAUCAUUAAUCCAAAUACAGUUGCUUUCGCGCGCAACAUUGGUACUACUGUUGAAAGAGUUCUUCCGCAGUUUGAUUGUCCAUCAGUAAGAAUUAAAACUUCAUGUUUGGUACCUUGACACAUGCCU
rnacentral:lncRNA from 1 species